GCCCAAGUGGCGAAAUUGGUAGACGCGCUAGUUUCAGGUACUAGUGACUUCGCGGUCUUGCAGGUUCGAGUCCUGUCUUGGGCA
rnacentral:tRNA from 1 species